rnacentral:rRNA from 1 species
CCUACGGGCUGCAGCAGUGAGGAAUAUUGGUCAAUGGACGAGAGUCUGAACCAGCCAAGUAGCGUGAAGGAUGACUGCCCUAUGGGUUGUAAACUUCUUUUAUAUGGGAAUAAAACAGGGUAUGCAUACCCUCUCGUAUGUACCAUAUGAAUAAGGAUCGGCUAACCCCGGGCCAGCAGCCGCGGUAAUACGGAGGAUCCGAGCGUUAUCCGGAAUUAUUGGGUUUAAAGGGAGCGUAGGGGGAGUGUUAAGUCAGGUGGGAAAGUUUGCGGCUCAACCGUAAAAUUGCAGUUGAAACUGGCAGUCUUGAGUACAGUAGAGGUAGGCGGAAUUCGAGGUGUAGCGGUGAAAUGCUUAGAUAUCACGAAGAACUCCGAUGGCGAAGGCAGCUCACUGGACUGCAACUGACGCUGAGGCACGAAAGUGUGGGUAUCAAACAGGAUUAGAUACCCUUGUAGUC